GAGAGGAGCAGCUAGGAUUUUCCCUGCAGCAGUGUGUGGAUUUGUUGUCUUCCUUCUCUCAGUGUCAGUGAUACAGGGUCAGGAUGAGCAACACUCUCCUCCAGUGUAUCCUCCAAAGUCUCCCUCUGUGUCAGUGAGUCCCUCUGGUGACAUAAAUGAGAACAGUCUAGUGAUUCUAACCUGUAACAGUGACGCUAAUCCAGCAGCUACUUAUAUCUGGUACGAGUUACGUGCAAACCCCCAACCUCUCAGUGAUGAGCGGCGGCUUGUCUUCACGUCCAUCAAGUCCUCUGACAAAGGACUGUAUUAUUGUGUAGCUGAGAACAAAGUGGGGUCAGCAAGAUCUAAAUCCAUCUCCAUUAAUGUGAAAUAUGCUCCAAAGCGUCCCCGUGUGUCAGUGAGUCCCUCUGGUGACAUUAAAGAGGGCUGUAAAGUGACUCUGACCUGCAGCAGUGAUGCUAACCCAGCAGCUAAAUACACCUGGUACAAGUCAAAUGGAAACGUCAAACCUCCCAGUAAUGAACCACAGCUUGUCUUCAGCUCCAUCACGUCCUCUGACUCUGGACACUAUUAUUGUGCAGCUGAGAACCGGCUGGGGACGAAACCAUCUG